UAAUACGUAGGGUCCGAGCGUUGUCCGGAGUUACUGGGCGUAAAGCGCGCGCAGGCGGCGCGGUCAGCAUGGCGUGAAAGCCCCCGGCUCAACCGGGGAGGGUCGUCAUGGACUGCCGCGCUUGAGGGCGGUAGGGGCUGGUGGAAUUCCCGGUGUAGUGGUGAAAUGCGUAGAGAUCGGGAGG
rnacentral:rRNA from 1 species